ACUCUUCAACCUGCUUCCAUCACAACUUCUGACUGCGGUCACAACCCACAGAACCGCACCUCCAUGAAAUAUUGGGGGGAGGCAGUACAUCCACGAUGGUCUCAGUGUGAGGGGAGGGGGUUUGUAGGGAGGGGCAGAGGUUCAUUCUUCAGUGUCCUCGGAGCUAGCUCUUCGGUGUGCUUCAAGCCUUUAGCAUCAGAAUCGCUGGGCACUUGGUAAAAAUGCAGAUUUCUGGGAUCUCUCUCGAACCUUGUGAAGGAGAAUCUCCGAGGCUGAACCCAGGAAUCUGCAUUUUAACACUUCACUACAGGCAAUCUUUGGCCCCCUUGGAGGUGUGAAACCUUGGUCCAGCGCUGGUGACCUUUCGAUGGUGGGGGAGGGGUGGUGAAGAAAGGAGGUGAACCCCGUCAUCCAAGUAGCAGGGGAUCACCAAAACUGCCGAAGUCUGGAAAGGAUGUCCUGUCGCCUGUCUGCUGUGCACCCGUCUUCAGGCCCCUACCCUGGCACUCCUGCCUCUCAAACCGGAAGGAAGGGUUUGGGAGCAGGAAUUCGAGAGGCCUGGGGCCAAAGUUUCGCCAGUGAGAGCUCUAACUUGGGUCUCUGAUUUAAAGGAUCCUGGCCACUGUGUUCCGGUUGGGGUGGGGGGGUGGGGAGGGUGACAGUGACUUACACAUCCCCUGUCCUGGCAACCCAGAAAGCUGUUUGAUGCCCUCUGCACCCCCCGCAUACACAGCUAGGGUGCUGGCGCUGCCUGGGCCCUGGGUGUGAGAGUCCGCCCUCUGGACAGGUCCAGGUGAGCUGGUUCAUUCCACACAUCCCAGAAACUGGUGAACACAAUGGGCCCUAGGACCCAGAGAACAACUCAGGCACAAAGCCUCCCCCCACUCCCAGCUGCUUCCUGCAUCUCAGGCCUUUCUGCGGCCUCUGCCUCCUCCCCCGCCCUCUUCCCCUCCAUCCUCUUCCUCCUUUUCCUAAUCUCCCACUCUCUCCCCCCUGGCCUGGAAGGGCUGGCAAAGGGAGCCCUCCUACCACUCCACUGCAGGGGUGUGUGUGGGUUUUGUGGGAUAUUAACGCGUUACCAUGUGCAAAAGAGCUUAGAGUACAGCGUGGGGGAUGGGGUGUGGGGAAGCCGCCUGGGAACCCUGGAUAUUGGGAUCGGGAGGGGCCAGGAACCGCAGGACUGAUCCUGAGGCUGGUGCUAAGGAAGAGGGAAGAUCUAGGUUGUGAGCUAGAGCCGGAAGUGAACCCAGACCUCACACUUUCCAAAU
rnacentral:lncRNA from 1 species